UUAGUGGGGGAGCGGGAGCUCUGGCGGCAGCUGGGGGGAGGGGAUUCGAGCCCCGGAGUCGGAAGAUCUGGGUUUGCUUCCGGGCCUAGCCACCCGCUGGCCGAGUGACCUUAGGCAAGUCACUCUGUUAAUUUGUCUGCGCCUCAGUUUCCUCCUCUGCCUAUCAGUGUGUGUCUGGGAUUGAAAGCGCUUUACAAAAGCGUCCGUUUACAUAAAGGAUGAUUAUUGUCUGUAUAUUUUCUUUGAGUUGCAAGAAGACUUAGCAACUGCUCAUUCCCCGAAAUUAAAUCCGGUAACCUUCUAUUGGAGUUGGAGAUUGGGCAGGCUCCUUGAAUUGGUGUGCAGAAACAUGUGGGAAAGUGCAUUCUAGGGGAAUGAGCGUAUCCAUCCGUAGCAAAGUUUUCAAAGGGGCUCUGACCAGGAAGAGUUUAAAAACAAUUUUAUGCCACCGGGAGGAAACUGAGGCCUACAUGUCAUUUGGGACCCUUCACAACCAAUUUGAAGCCCCCAUUUGAGUCCCUGGUAUAUGUGAGCUGCUUCUUAAUGCAUAAUGGCUAUUUUGGGUAACAUCAUUUCACUGCUUGGCUCCUAUUCUAAGCCCUUUCCUUUCACCGUAGGGUGCCUGAAGGGUGGCUGAUACAUAUGGUACAAUGGCACCCAAUAUAAAGCAGCUACAAUUAGGAGUGAAUAUGUUCUGUAGUAUCAAGAAAUGUAAUCUUUGGCCCAGCAAUUGUUUUUCUGCUGCUUGUACUGGUGCCUGACUACUUUUCUUUCAUUGACUAUUUUCUACGACCAUGAUUGACAUCCAUCGUUUGCUCCUAUUUUGUAUCCCUGGUUUGUGUGGUUGAUAGUGAACAGGCAUAUUUUUAAAUGGUGCUGCCAAACCCAGCUAAUGGUGCAGGUGGAUUUUUAGUAAGUGGGCUCCCUGGAACAGACUGAACCAGGCAUUGGAUUCCUGAAGAUGUUUGGGGUUAUUGUUUGGUUUGGUUUGUUUGGUUUGGUUUGGUUUGGUUUGGUUCUUAUUAUUUGAAGGUUAACAAUCUCUGAAAAGUUUGGUUGGACUCUGGAUGAACCACAAAAUCAAUACAUUUGAAAGUAAUUUGAAGUUUAACUUUUUCCUGGCCAACCUUGUAUUCUAAUUGCCUGCAAGUGUGAGACUGAAAUGGCCAAAAUGCCAUUUUUUGUUUAUUUCUCUGUUAAUUGUCAGCUGCUUUUCUCAGAUUCCAGGCCAUCAUCCAGCAAACACUAUAAAAAUGUUUGAACGGUUGCAUUUCAAACAUUUUCGUUUUGUGGAGUGGUGCUUAUCAAGUGGUACAGCUCUCGAAGCAAGUGAACACAGACAUAUUUAAGUGUAUUUUGUAUGAUUAGAGGUUACCAAUUCUGAUAUUUUAUUCAAAAGUCUAAAAAAAUUAGUUGACUAUUCCCUUUACCAAAGGGCCAGAGACAAAUGCUUUCCCUUCAAGAGAAAUGACUGUUUGGAGAAAAAUGUGUUGGUCUUAGUUCUUUUGUAAUUAAAUCUGGAUGUACCUCAAAAGACUCUUUAAGACUGUGGUGUUAAAAGGCUUUCCUCUGGAGAAAGGAGAAAGGAGAAAAGAAAAAGAAAAAUCAACUGGAACUUAAAAGCUUGAAAUUCCAUGACAAAACACAGAUGUCCAGGAUUGGAGGUUCAUGAAGUGUUUGCAGUAGUUGGAGCAGAUACACUUUUUGGUGUAGCUGCCACUGUGGACUCCAGGUUUCCAGAUUUUCAAGAACUGGAACUGUGACCCAGAAGAGCUUGUCAAGACGUGGCAGGAACUCUGGAGGUAGAAGUUUUGUGGUUUUCAAUUUUGGAACUGUUGAUUUUGCUGUGAGUAAAGAGGCAACAAGUCACCAAGCACUGCUACAAGCACUGUUAAGGGAACUUGAAGACCUGGCUUUCUGUCCAGACCCUCAGUGCAAACUGACAACACUCCAUCCAAAGUGAACUAUGUCCUGUGCCUCCUGAUUGCUGAGUGCUCACCUGGACCUUCUGAUGACCUUCUUUCUGCUAGUCCAUCAGCCUGCAGACCUGGUACCUGGAUUUUUGUCCACGGUGAUUCCUACCACCUUACUACUGAAGAAGACACCAUUCCAAUGGACCACUGUGACCCAAGAAGCAUUCAGCCAUCAUGAUGUGACCUUUACCUCCACUCCUGUUCUUCUCUGCUCAGAUUCAGCACAGCCCUUGCAGUCAAGAGUCUUCAAGCCAAAUAACUGAAGCUAUUUUAUCACAACAGAGGCCAAGUUUAUUCCAUAAAUGUACAGUUCAUUUCUACAGUUAAAAGUCUUCAGAGACACAUAGUAAACUUGGACCGGGGGGUUUUGUGUUUUGUUUUGUUCUUAAAUUGUCAACACUGUCUGAAAAUGGCAUCAUCUCUGAGAACAGCAUUGGAACAUGCUCCACAAUCUCAAAUGACUGAAGUUUAAUGAACUGCCUAGGAUCCUGUCAAGGUCACUGGACUUGUUUUUCCUACUUCAAAUUUGUAGCUGUCUACUGAAUGAAAAAAGAUAUUCUGACCCACUAGGAUCACAACCAAGGCACAUUGAAUUCCUCAUAGUAACAUCUUUGGGUUACUCAGGAACCAAAACUUUCCACGCCGAUUUUAAGAAAUUCUACUAAGGAAUCCCUUUACCUAACCAUCUGACAAGGCUUCAACCAGAUUCCGGAAAGGACCUCUUGACACAUCAAGAUAGAACCUAUAUGCAUUUUGUGAACAACUUAUCCUUAUCACUGGUUUUCCAAAGGCUUUGUGCUCAUGAAGGCCUUUGAAGGAAAGCUGUGUGGAAGUCCAGAGUAAAGUGAAGCUGCUCUGGAUGAAGUAGUGAAGCAGAAGUAGGGGUCUGCAGCCUGCCACAUCGAUCAGCCUUUACCACCAUGAUGACACCUAAAGGGACUUCCUUAAGUAAAAUUCUUCAGAAAAUACUGCUUGAAACCACUGCCCUAGAUGACGUUUGGCCUGAAGGACAUUCUGACCUUUUAUAUACUUCCAACUCUAUAUAUUCAUAUUCAGUUGAUGCUGAUGAACAUGUUUGGAGAUGGGUAUGCCUUUGUCCAGAGAACGAUCAUACAGCGUUGUCAAGUGAAAUUUUAUUAAUAGCAUUCCAUCCAAGGUGGACUUCCUGGAGUUGAAUAUAGCCAGAGAGCAAUUCAUGUAUCAUUAACUGUGAAAGUAUGUGAUGUAGAAAUCUUGGAACAUGGAUAUACGAAUUGCCUAAAAGCUGGUAUUGAAGCUGAUGCCUCAUCGAGGCCAUCUUAGACCAAGUUGUUUAUUUGACCUCUCCUCAUUAACUAUGGUACUCCAUGUAUAAAGCAUAACCAUUAACUAUGAAGCAAAAUUCAAAUACAGUUUUUCCUUAAGGGGCUUGCAACCUGGUUAUCAUUCACUGUCUCAAAUUUCAAAUCAUGUGAUUCAACUAAUAAUUAAACUCCUCCAUGGUUUUCUGUUAUUUAACAACUACUGUUUCCAAGGUUUAAAAAACAAAAAUUAAAUUUCUCCAACACUUGUAUUUCUGCGUAUUCAAAAUUAAUUGAACUACUCACCUCUUCAUGGAACAGAUGACCCUGAAGAUACACACUGAACAUCCUUUAUCAUAUAUGUGACUUAAAAUAUAGCUGGAAAAUUUUCUUCUACCCAGUGAGCUAUUCCUUAAUGGUUAUUCUUCAUGCCUGGUACCAUCAGCUGGAUGUGAUGGGCACAGUUGAACACAGAUUCUUUGACUCUAGGCCAUGAUAGCUUGCUAGGCAGUUCAAGUAGCAUGUUGUCAACCUUUUUGCUGGAAAAGUAGACUAACUUGGAAAGAAAAUCUAAAAUGGCAGCUAAGGAUUUUUUUCAGUGUUCUUGAGUUUCUAUCCUUGUGGAUAUUUUGAUGGAAUAUCAUCUGUCUCAUACUAUCACUACACUAGUUAAGAAUGACUGACUUUAUUCCUUACUAUGAAGUAUUCUUAAGACAUUAAGAUUAUUUUUUGUAGAAAGGAUAAAAUUCCUGAAUAUUGAAAUCAUGUCAUAGUGAACAAGACUGUAAUUUGUGACCUGAGAAAAUUUCAUCCCUCAACUACAUAGUCAAUUUAAGGGCCAACUAUCAUCAGCUAUUCUUGAGUGCAUUGGGUAAACGUCGGAACUGCCUUCUUUAUGUCCUUAUUUCUUACCCUCUAACCAUGGUUAUGUGAUUCUCAACACAAAUCAGCAAAUCAGAUUCAGAUCUGGUUAUUCUAAACUCACAAACAGCAAUUCAAAAUUUGGAUGACUUCUGCUUGUACAUGGCAACUAUUUGUAAAGAAGAAAUUACAGAUUUCACUUUUCUAUUACCUCUACAUUAGCUUUUUCUUUUUACUAUAUUUGCAGAAACAAAAAAUAAAUCUACACUGCCAGUCAUUCUCUCUGAUCCUGUCAUACUCGGUUAAAAUGAGGAAUCAAGAACCUAUUUAGUAAUUGGUUUAGAAAAAAACUAAAAAUUUAAGGCAAACGCCUUAAUCUCGGGCCUUGUCUACUGUCUUCUUGCCUCAGAGCUCAUCUGAAUCUUACAGCAGUGCCACCCAACCAGUCUGAGGCCUUGACUUGCCUUUCGGAUGAUUCUUGGAGAUGGGCUGUAUUACAGAAGGUGAAGACUUGAUUACCAAAGAAAGUAGAGCCAACUACAACAAAUCUGGCUCUACGAUCCUGUUGCUCCCAGAUGUAGCAUAGACUCCUAACUAGAAUCUCAAGUCUGCAUUGAGGAUAUAGCCUUCAAAGCUGACAGUUCUUGCACAUAUGAGCAGGAAAAUGAAAGCUGCUAUACCCAACUGGCCCUUUAAGAUCCAAAAAAUGUCUGGAGUAAACCCUGUGGAUUAACUCUGGAGUACCCAAGACAAAAACUAAUUUAUUGAGCUUCUUUAUUAGUCUGCCUCUUCUUCCAGAUUAUAGCUUAACUACUGGUAUGGCUGGCCCUGCUAAAGUUAUUUGUCUGUUUACCUGUCUUCAGCUCUUAACCUGCCUGUUUUGACAUGCUACUGCAAUCACACUAACUGUCCCUGAGAAGACUACAGUUUCAGCAUCUCUUGUGCCCAGUUCCACCAAGGAAUUUUGAAUAGAAGGAACCUGUACCUCACCCUGCCAGAAAAUAUUCCAAAAGGAGGGACCAUGCUGCAUACUCUUAGACCAGCAACUAAGUAAAGAAUAACCUUCCUUAUUUCCAACACCUAAAUCAUCUGUUUUGUUUAACAGGAGUAUAACAGGUUGAAAGCAGAGCACAUUGCUUUUUAUCUGUGAUAACUAAGAGAUGAAUAUGAUUGGCCAGGACUCAGAAAUUAUAAGUUCACCUUGACAAGACAUCUAGCAACACCAGAACUUUACCACUGAACUUAAUUUGCCACUAACUCAAAUAGCCUCACAGACCUGUUUGCCAAGUAGGAGGCUGGUUUUCCUGUUUCUCAUCACCAAUGUGGUGAGGCACUGAUCAAUCUGACUUGAAUGGAAAUGCUGUGGUGAAUCCCAGAGUAUGAUGCUAAUGGAAAUUAUUAGGACAUUACUCCUAGUGAUUUUUGAGUUUGAUUACCAAGGAAGAAUCACUUCAGCUACUAUAAGUCAACCUUAUGAGCAAAGAUUAAGCUCUUUGUACCUGGUCUUAAUCCUGGAUGUUGUUUUUUUUAUUGCCCAAUGUCCAUUCCAUCUCACUAUAACAACUUCCUGGAGUUUUUUGGAACCAUCUCUUCCAAUUUUCAGUCCAUGUGAUUUAGACAGUCUUGUUGAAUCUUGUGCUGGACAUGUUAUUCCAACCUCAUCAAUCAGCAGAGUCCAUCUUGACUCUAGUAAUUGGUUCCAGAAUGGAUGCAUGAUUCAAGUUUAUCCAAUGAUAAUCAACCUAGGUGUUUUACUCAGUUGUGGAGAAGUUCUCUUAAAUGCUGUAGAUUUGUAGGAGAAAAACUCAACCCAACAGGGCCUACUAUGUUGAAUGAGCCAGGCAGAAAAAUGAAGCCAGUGCAGAGGGAAACAGCCAAAAGAGUGAAAGACUUGAGUUCUGAUUGCAACGUUUAUGCCCCUGGAUCCAACCGUGCCUGAAGCUAGUGGUAUAUCCCCUGGACUUUUCAGUUAUGUGAACCAAUAAAUACCCUUUUUUGUUGAAGUUA